UGUUGCUGUUUCAGAAAGUGAAAUACAUCCAUAAAGAGAAGAUUUACUGCCACUAAGGAUUUUUUUUUAAAAAAAGCUGCUGGGGCCGGCCCAGUGGCUCAGCAGUUAAGUUCGAACGUUCCACUUUGGCAGCCAGGGGUUAGCCGGUUCGGAUCCCGGGUGUGGACAUGGCACCGCUUGACAUGCUAUGCUGUGAAGUCUGGAGCCCUAGGCCGUGUGUUCUUCCAGAGUUGGUACUGGACUGCUGCCGAAUUCACCAGGGGUUUCAUUGAGUUCUGAUUCUUAACCCGUUAGUGUUGGUGUGUCACCAUCCUUACACGUCCUUCUGGUUCUGCUAUGUGGGAUGCUGCCUCAGCAUGGCUGGAUGAGCGGUGCUAGGACCACGCCCAGGAUCUGAAUCGGUGAAACCCUGGGCCGCCGAAGCAGAGGCAUGAACUUAACCACGGGGCGGGCCCAAGGUUUUUUAUUAAAGAGCAGAUUUUUAAGAACCAUAUUAAAAGCAUCAGUGUGUUGGGGGCUUAGUUUAGCUGGAGAGACAGAGAAUGUACAUAGGAUUGAUAAGGAAAACCAUCGCUUCCACCCCUGGAAGUGGAAGGCAGCAGCACUCGCUGUGUACUUCGAUCCCCUCACAUCCCCUAGAGUAGCUGUUUGUGUGGCUGGAAGCCACAGCUUCAUUUGUAG
rnacentral:lncRNA from 1 species